CAGCAGUAGGGAAUCUUCCACAAUGGGCGAAAGCCUGAUGGAGCAAUGCCGCGUGAGUGAAGAAGGUUUUCGGAUCGUAAAACUCUGUUGUUGAAGAAGAACAUGCGUGAGAGUAACUGUUCACGUACUGACGGUAUUCAACCAGAAAGCCACGGCUAACUACGUGCCAGCAGCCGCGGUAAUACGUAGGUGGUCAAGCGUUGUCCGGAUUUAUUGGGCGUAAAGAGAAUGUAGGCGGUUUAUUAAGUUUGAAGUGAAAGCCCUCGGCUCAACCGAGGAAGUGCUUCGAAAACUGGUAAACUUGAGUGCAGAAGAGGAAAGUGGAACUCCAUGUGUAGCGGUGGAAUGCGUAGAUAUAUGGAAGAACACCAGUGGCGAAGGCGGCCCCCUGGACAAAGACUGACGCUCAGAUGCGAAAGCGUGGGGAGCAAACAGGAUUAGAUACCCUGGUAG
rnacentral:rRNA from 1 species